CAGCAGCCGCGGGAAUACGAAGGGGGCUAGCGUUGUUCGGAUUUACUGGGCGUAAAGGGCGCGUAGGCGGGCGAAUAAGUCAGGGGUGAAAUCCCAAGGCUCAACCUUGGAACUGCCUUUGAUACUGUUUGUCUUGAGUUCGAGAGAGGUAAGUGGAACUGCGAGUGUAGAGGUGAAAUUCGUAGAUAUUCGCAAGAACACCAGUGGCGAAGGCGGCUUACUGGCUCGAAACUGACGCUGAGGCGCGAAAGCGUGGGGAGCAAACAGGAUUAGAUACCCCGGUAGUCCCUGUCUCUUAUAU
rnacentral:rRNA from 1 species